rnacentral:rRNA from 1 species
CCUACGGGAGGCAGCAGUGAGGAAUAUUGGGCAAUGGACGAGAGUCUGAACCAGCCAAGUAGCGUGAAGGAUGACUGCCCUAUGGGUUGUAAACUUCUUUUAUAUGGGAAUAAAACGUUCCACGUGUGGGAUUUUGUAUGUACCAUAUGAAUAAGGAUCGGCUAACUCCGUGCCAGCAGCCGCGGUAAUACGGAGGAUCCGAGCGUUAUCCGGAUUUAUUGGGUUUAAAGGGAGAGUAGGUGGAGUGGUAAGGCAGUUGUGAAAUGUUGCGGCAGAACCGUAAAAGUGCAGUUGAAACUGGCAGGCUGGAGUACAGUAGAGGUGGGCGGAAUUCGUGGUGUAGCGGUGAAAUGCGUAGAUAUCAGGAGGAACACCAGUGGCGAAGGCGACCUGCUGGACUGCAACUGACGUUGAGGCCCGAAAGCGUGGGGAGCAAACAGGAUUAGAUACCCCUGUAGUC